ACUCUUAUCAGUACUGAAGAUUAUUAGAACUGUAAUGUAGUGUUAUAUAACCAGCGAAAUGAGUGAUGUAAUUUUAAACAAAUAAAUCUGUAGGUAUUGUUGAGUUUUCCAGAACCAUUUCAACAUGCUUUUUAAUCUGUUGAGGUCAAACUGCCAAUGACAUAAUUAUUACUCUGCUAUUCAAAAUAACGUCAACUAGACUCCUACAAUAGCAGAACGCUUUUUAGGGACAAGCGGCAAAAUUGCAUGUGCAUUUACAAACACACAAUAGAGACAUACACUAUAACCUGGAACAACAAUUUGUAGAGUUGCACAAAAAAUUGUUCCGUGCGGGAAUCGAAUCUGCGGAUACGUCGCAUGGCAGCCAGUUGGCCAGCAAUUGUGCAAAGCGUGCAACCAUAAAGAUGUGUUCAAAGGCAAUUAAGGAGUUGGUUUCCUUGUUAUUCUGAAGAUUUCUAUCAUCACUGCAGCACAGGUAUUAAGUGCACUAAGCUUUUACGCCUCUGGAUAUCUCGCUGGCGGUGUUUAUUGGUUGAUUGCAAGAUACACUUUUACCCUGCAACAGGGGACUGAUAUCAAAUGCUCGUGUGUGAGGAGCAACAGUUAAAAAUUACUAUGCAGAUGUUCGAUUUUUUUUUUGGAGAAGCCGGCCACAUUUUUAAACCGCUGCGACUCUUGUAAGCGAGGAUCUACCGUAGAUACAGCGAUGAUGACACUCAACACUAAGUCCGGCGUAUCAGGGACAUAAAUAACUGUCUCGGACCCACAACGAAAUCAGCUUCUGAUUUAUCAGAAGAUAUUAUUGGAGAAGAAAAAGACGAUAGUUUCCACUUCCCUAGGAUUUUUAGUUUUUGAAAUAAAUGUUUUAAAAUGAGUGAUUUUAUUUUAUUGAUGUGAAUGAUAUAAACUGAAAGAUAGUUGAAAUACCUCUCCCCUC